rnacentral:rRNA from 1 species
ACAGAGUUUUAUAUUGGCUCUCCUAAGUAUUAUCUAGAAACAUAUAUUAUGCAAACUAACAAAUUAUAGAUUUUGAAAUUCAAAAUAAUAGUAUAAUUUAGAGUAGUGAACACACGAGUAAUAGAUAAGAAACUACAACAUAAUAUAGCAAUAAAUUUGUAAUAAGAAUAAUAUAAAAAGUAUUUAUAAUAUUUAUAAAGUAUGUAUAAACAUAUGUAUUAUGUGAGGCUUAUCUUAAUAUUAGGUAGUUGGUUAAAAUAAAUAGAUAACGCAAGCUUAAGAUAUUUAGUCUAAUUAGGACCGUGUAGGAUCUGAAAGAUAUCCUAAUUUCAGUGAAAUCAGCAGUAAGUAACAUUCGUCAAUGAUUGAAAGAUUGAACGAGUUACCUAGUAGAAUUAAUAAAACUGAAGUUAAAUAUAUAAAUAAAUAGUUUAAACUAUAUAUUUAUAUAAUAAUAGUUUUAGAACGAACAAAAAAUUCGAAUUUUAAUAUAAGAAAGAUAUAUUAAUUGUGAUAGUAUGUACUAAUUUCAGUGCCAGCAGUAGCGGUAAUACUGAUCAUGCUAAUACUUAUAACAUACUUGGCUUAAAGGGUUUGCAGAUGGAUGUUUAAAUACAUACUAGAAUUCAUAAGAUGUUAUUUCAAUUUUAAAAGUAAGGAUAAAAUUUGCGUAUAAUUAAAGUUGACCCAAAAUUUGGAAAAUAAUGACAAAUAUGAAUUGACAUUAAGAAACGAAAGUUAAAAUAUAGAAAUCGAUUAGAGACCGGUGUAUUUUUAACCGUAAACGAAACAUAUUGAGAAUAAAAAAAGUUAAACGAGAAUAUGUCGCCAUAGUAGUACGUUCCCAGGAAUAAAACUAAAAAUAUAAGACGGUUUGGAACUCAAGUAGUGGAACAUGUUGUUUAAUUCGAUAAUCCCCGAUAAACUUACCUAUUUUUGUAUUCUAAACAGGUGUUACAUCAUUGUCUUCAAUUCGUGUUGUGAAAUGUUAGGUUAAGUCCAAGCAACGAAUAAAAACCUCUAUAAUAUUAAAAAAUAUUAUUUAUAUUUAAUCAAAAUGGUUAGCAUAAAGAGGACUAAGACAAAUCAAGAUGACCCAAAUAGAUAGGGCUACAGAUGUGUUACAAAAUAUAAAGAAAUAAAAAAUUAAAGAAAUAAUAAAAACUUUAAUAAAAUAUAUAAAUUAUAUAAUAAAAUGAUUAUUUCAUUUGCUCCAUGGAUAAAAGUUUGAAAUUCAGCUUUUUGAAAAAGGAAUUACUAGUAAUUAUCGUUAAGUAUACGAUAAUGAAUAUCAUCUUUCAUUCGUACUAAUCACUCAUCACUUGCUUAAAGAGUAAAAUGUUAAGUUUUUUUUAAAGUAAAGUCAAAUUAAAAAUAAUUUGGUUUUUAUAUUAUUAUAUGUUCUUAUGGAACAAUUAAUAAUAAUCGGUUAUAUAUUUAACUAAAAAUAGUAUAAUAAUAUUAAAUACGCAUUAAGUUUAAUAAGUAAGAAGUUGAAAUACAGUUACCUGUAAGAGGGAAUCUGCAGUGGUAAAUAAAAAUUUAA